rnacentral:rRNA from 1 species
AUUGAACGCUGGCGGCAGGCCUAACACAUGCAAGUCGAGCGGAGCGGCGGACGGGUGAGUAAUGCCUAGUAAUCUGCCUGGUAGUGGGGGAUCACGUCCGGAAGCGGGCGCUAAUACCGCAUACUAUCAGAUGAGCCUAGGUCGGAUUAGCUAGUUGGUGGGGUAAUGGCAUACCAAGGCGACGAUCCGUAACUGGACUGAGAGGAUGAUCAGUCACACUGGAACUGAGACACGGUCCAGACUCCUACGGGAGGCAGCAGUGGGGAAUAUUGGACAAUGGGCGAAAGCCUGAUCCAGCCAUGCCGCGUGAGUGAAGAAGGUCUUCGGAUUGUAAAGCACUGUAGGUUGGGAGGCGUUAUCAACAGAAUAAGCACCGGCUAACUACGUGCCAGCAGCCGCGGUAAUAC